rnacentral:rRNA from 1 species
AAGUCUGACGCAGCGACGCCGCGUGGAUGAUGAAGGCCUUCGGGUUGUAAAAUCCUUUUCCGGGCGAUGAGGAAUGACACUAGCCUGGGAAUAAGCGUCGGCUAACUACGUGCCAGCAGCCGCGGUAAGACGUAGGACGCGAGCGUUAUCCGGAUUUACUGGGCGUAAAGCGCCUGCAGGCGGUCAGGUAAGUCGGUUGUGAAAGCCCCGUGCUCAACCGCGCCGAGGCCCAAGCGAUACUGCGCGACUGAAGGCCGGUAAGAGGCGAGUGGAAUUCCCGGUGUAGCGGUCAAAUGCCGCAGAUAUCGGGAGGAACACCAGUGGCGAAGGCGGCUCCCUGGACCGCACCUGACGCUCAGAGGCGAAAGCUAGGGGAGCGAACAGGAUUAGAGACCCUGGUAGUCCUAGCCCUAAACGCUGGAUGCUAGGUGUAGGGCUGAUGAGGCUCUGUGCCGGAGCGAACGCGAUAAGCAUCCCGCCUGGGAACUACGGCCGCAAGGCUAAAACUCAAACGAAUUGACGGGGACCCGCACAAGCAGCGGAGCGUGUGGUUUAAUUCGAUGCUACACGAAGAACCUUACCUGGGUUUGACAUGUUGGUGGUACCGAACCGAAAGGGGAGGGACCCUUCGGGGAGCCAACACAGGUGCUGCAUGGCUGUCGUCAGCUCGUGCCGUGAGGUGUCGGGUUAAGUCCCGUAACGAGCGCAACCCUUGCUCUUAGUUAUACGUGUCUAAGGGGACUGCCGGCGACAAGCCGGAGGCACGGUGGGGAUGACGUCAAGUCAGCAUGGCCUUGAUAUCCAGGGCUACACACACGCUACAAUGGCCGGUACAAAGGGCAGCCAAGCCGCGAGGUGGAGCGAAUCCCAGCAAAGCCGGUCCCAGUUCGGAUUGCAGGCUGCAACCCGCCUGCACGAAGUUGGAGUUGCUAGUAACCGCGCGUCAGCCAU